ensembl:lncRNA
CUCCAUUUUUCCUUUUGGUUCUAAUGAACAAAAAAAAAAAAAAAAAAAAAAAAAAAAAAAAAAGCUCUCGGUGCCAGCGCGCUGUCCUGUUCCGCCCUUCGCAUCACGAGCAUGCAGCCAUCCUCCAUCACGGAGCCCGCUCCCGGCCAGGUCCCACUCUGGCUGUCAGGGUUCUCUCUACUCCCACAAAUCUCCGACCAUAAGCAGAGCGCAGUCCAGGCACGGCCCCGACCCCCCGGCCCCGUGUCUCGGCCGUCCCAGCGCUCGGGAAAGCCGCUCAGAGACUCGGGCAACACAAGAACAGAGAAAAGGGGUCGCCUGUUCGGGACCCCCUCCCCCGGGUUCCACACCGAGAGAAUCUAUCGAUUUAUGGACACGCUUCUCCAGCCGUGAGAAAAGCCCUGGCCACUUUUCUGCGCGGACUCGUGGCAUCAGCCGCAGCCAGCAGUUUCGAUGCCAAAGAGCAAUUCUGUUGAGAUGCUUAAGGGCGCCUGGCGGUAGGCGUACGCUAUAGGGAAUGCCGCACGGCGGUGGAGAGGGGAAGAACCAGAUCCCAGUGGCAGGAUUUCAGCGCUCCUGAGAAAGUCACAGUGCAUUGCCACAUUUUCUUUCUUUCUUUCGUUUUUCUUCAGAAGAAGAUAAGGGCAUCUGUUUAAUUCUUUUAUUAGGCGCUGGAAGAGCGGGCGAAGUCUUUUGCUGACGGCUCAUGACUCACACGGUCGGUAGCUUUCCGGCUAUCGACUGCAGCAGGACGUGUGUGAGGCAUUUUGCAAACCAGCACCGAGGCCCAAAGCCGUGAGUCACAGUGCUCAGCAAGCACCAGGCUCAGUCCCGCGUGUCUGCGUGUUUGCGCUCCCACUGUCAGAGAGCGGGGCUUUAUGUUCCUCACAUGUUAGAUCUGCAAUUUCGUGUGGAUUCCGACACUCCCUAACGACCCAUCCCACGGAGGUGUCUGAAAGCUCCUCGGAUGAGCUCCCAUCUCUCUCCGGCUCCGAAGUGACGCACCUACCCACGGUGUAGGGUGCAUCACUCGAGACAGAUUUACAGUUCAGCCCUCCCGGCAGACAGGAGGAGAGAUCUGUGUGGAAUAUAAAUUCAAGAAUGUAAUUCUUUCUCAAACAAAUAAUCUGCUCCCUUUCAAAUAUAAUUAAUGUUUUGAUAGUGCAUUUCUUGUGAGAGAGAGAUACAAAAACAGAGGCAACCUCUUGGAUCUCUGUUUGUAUAUUUGCAACAGGAAUUUACAGUACCUAUCUUGUGAAUGUGACAGAUAGAGUGUUUUAAACAUCGAGAAGGUUUAUUUAUUAGCACAACUACAUCAGGAAACUGAUAGGUCUCUGCUAUCCCCCGUGCCCAUUUUGCGCGUGUUUUAGUUGCGGAGGAAGUGGCGUCGCGGUAGGUUGUUGCAGGACGGCACUAUUCCUGCGGCGGGACGGGGCUGUUUCCCAGCCCUCUGACGAGCCCUGCCCCACUGACUGGCAGCGCACCUCUCGCCUUUGUCGUCCGUUCCCCUCUCCCCUCCCCGCUGCUUCCGCGGCCCUUUUUGCCCGCAGAGCAGGGGGAGACCCUCGUGCCCCACGAGCCGGCCCCGUCCGCACCGGUCCGUGCUUCGAGUCAUACUGCCUGAACAAAGCCGCGCUGGGAAUGCGCAGGACGUCAGAUGCGUGUUAAUUACUGAUAUAUGACCUCAUGGCUCAUUAGUUAUAGAUCCGCUACCCAAUCCUGAGAGUGAGGAAUCUUUUUUUUUCCCUCUCCUUCUGUCUUUCCUUCUCCCUCUUUUCUUUCUAACACUGCUCUCAGAGGAGUGUACCAAAGGUCAUUUUGCUGCGCUUAGGAACACGAAAUGAACGACAUUCGUUCCUAAUGCCCACUAGAUUGCUGCUAAGCCCCGGCACAAAACUGCGCUGGUAAACUAAUUCAGUUUAAUUCUACAUUUUAAUUCCAAAUGUUACAAAUACUGGAGAUCGGCGUGAAAUUAAAGCUGCCUGCAUAGUCCUAUCCUAUGGGCCGUGAAGGGCCAGAUGCCACUUCCACCGCUACCAAAGGUAGAUUUCCCAUCUGUAUCACUGGACAUUGCAUUGGGUCCCGAUUAUGCCUAUAGUCCAGGAAUUAAUGUGUUUUGGCUUGCCAUCUGAUGUCACGCUAUGUUUGAAAAUUCGAAUAUUAAGUGGACCCACAUUAGGGAGAAAUUUUUGAAAAACUUCUGAAACGUUCAGAUUUUCAGCUGGGGUGGUCAUGCCCCGUUUCACUUAACAUGGUGUUGUCAGAGGACACAUCCAAAAAUGAGUUUUCCAAGAGAGAAACAAAUAUGCAGUUGGUUUGGAGGUCUUCAGCAACAAUGAAUGUAAGUAAUACGAGUCACUAAACAACCACCUAAUUCCACAGAAUUAAUCACUUAACUUAAAGGAGUAAGGUAUGAAGUUGCAAAAUAGUGCCAGGCCCUGUCGCUGUGAAGGCACAGAUCUAGCCGUUCCAUGGCACUUCUUCUGAAGGCAAACUCCAGUUUCUCUCUGGAAUGUAUAGAUUCCACGUAGGUUAGCACCGGUCAGUAUUAGCUCCCCACAUAGCAGUAAUAUAACUUGGAACUGGCGCGUAUAACGUUGCACUCAUUUUAAUUUUCUGGUAGGCGUUCUCUGGAUUUACCUGGUCUAGAAUGUCCUGACAUUCUGGCAGACACCUGGGCAUUGUGGCAGAUAACUCCGUUCAAUACACUGUUACCAGCCUCAGCCACCAAGAUCCAAUUAAUUCGAUGUUUGCCUCCAGUGAUCUGUGAAAAAACAUACGGGCAAGGGAACAAAGAGAGGAAAUAUUUACCACAGUGAUCUGAUAAUAUCUAGGAAAAUGUCAAAUACCCACAUUUAAAUUCAUUUCUUGAAAAUAAUACGAAGAGAACAGAAGGAACUUCGGUAUCUUUGGGAUGUGCAACUGCUCCCUUUUUUUUUUCUUUUUUUUUUCUUCCUUUUUUUUUUUUUCCGCCCAAGGCUGACAUAAGGGACGGUCGCACUUACGUUCAGAAAAUAUUGUUAUUUUUCUUAAUGGGGAAAAUUGGACUCCCGCGACUUAGAUCUGUGGUAUUUAGAAGUGGGAUGGAAAUUGGACUGACACCACUUUGCACUUUAACAAUCGGAUUUCGUCAGGGUACAAGUUGUUUGUUUAACCCGACAGCUCCGUGCACCCCGUCGCACGCUUUUACACACUCAUUAAAACGAUUAUUCACGACCUGUCGAGUGUUUUCUCGUUCAUUCACAGGAAAGACUUAGCGCUCUGAGGUUCGAGCGCGUACGGUCAGCUUUAGCACGGACCAAGGGGAGAGAUUACUUAUCUCUGCGAUCAUCUGAUGCGAGGCCGCCUUAUCUCUGCAGGUUGCAAAGCAGCAGUUGCUGGAGGGGGGAGGGGGGGGAAUCAGAAACAACUAAACUUGCCGAAAGUACGAGGGAGAAGCCAAGGGCUCUCCUCUGAGCGGCACCGCGGGCCGAUCCCGUUCCCACUUCCCAACUUGCACUCCGGACGGCUACGGGAGGCGGUCCUCCCCUGCCCGGCUCACGCCGCCCGUACCUCCCGCCGGCGGGACGGUCGCGCCAACGCUGCCGAAGCGGAGGAGGGAAAGCGGUGAAGAAACGGAGCCCUCCUCGAAACGGUCGCCACGGAAAAUGCUCAGUUCGAGGGGAAAGAGCUAAAAUAUAGGGCAAAGUGUCAUCCUUCUGCGAACCGGAUAGUCCGCAGAGACCGGGGCGACUGCUUUUGAACAGAUUUAAUCACUAAGCAACCUAAAAUAUCUCCUUCUUUGGAGAGCUCUUUGGAAUGCCGAGCCUUCCUUUUUCUUUUUCUUUUUAAACUUUUUUUUUUUUUUUUCCUGAUUCCUAUACUCGUAUCACCUCGGAAUCUUAAAUUCCAUCUCUAAGGAAAGCUCAGGGGCACCACAGUACUGAGUGCCUCGCGGUUACAAAGGCAGAGCAGGGCCCGGAACAAGAAGCGCAGAUUUGUUCCUUCCCAGUCUCUACGGAUCCAGAAAAACAUUUUUUAUUUGGAAAAUAUCUCAACAGAAUGCCCCUUUAUUUAAAUGAACCGACCCCGAAUACAACAAGGGAUUUUAAUCUGAAACGGUUUCCUAAUUGCUCGAAAGGCAAGCACGUAUAAGUAAUUUGUUAAACUUAUUGGAUUGCAAUAAUCCACUAUCAGGUUAGCUAAGAAUGGAUCUGUCAAGUGUGUUUCCCAGCCUAAGCUCUUUCUUUCAAACCAAUCUGGUAUAAUAAUUAGCAGACAAAGAAGUCGAAAUAUAUAAGCAAAUAGCUCAGGUUCCGCAUAAAUAAACAGAGUGAUCAAUUGCGCUGCUCGAUUAUUGAUGAGAAGAUCAUCGAUUUGACUGCUCCAACCUGCAAUCAGAGAGAUCUGUAUUUAAUUAUCAGUACUUCUACCUUCGCUGAUUUAAUAACAAAAAUAGAGCUCACACAGCCUACCCUUCCGCCUAAAUGCAAAUGAUACUGAUGACAUAACUGAAGGCAACUUACGCUUCCCAGAAAACAAACAACUUUGCUCACAUAGAUCAACCAGCGAGCGGGGGAAGCGGCGCUGCCUCCCCAACGAGUGCCAGGGGACGUUUCAGACGCAGAUCGGGCGAAGAUACCCGUGCAUAUGUGUUCACACACAUAUGUGUAGCCGUAUAGAUAUACGGGAAGAGGUUCAUUGAUAAACAGCAGUGAGAUUUAUAUUUGCGUAAUUCACACUGUUUUCCAACAGACCUCUGCGAGCGAGUGCAUUCAAUUCGCUAACAAAAAUGCACUGGUACCGUUCCGAACCAUCGUGCUUCUGUCCUCCACAUGUGCGAUUUAGACACCCAGAGGAGAUUUCUUUAUCACUGGAAUGUUUGGAAAUCGCCACCUAUGAGCCGUGGCGUGAUAAAAUGUGCGGUUGUGCGAUGCGCGUUUAACGGCUUGAAUAAUGGUCCCAGCUUCCUUUCUCGGGGAUGUGUGGACAGCCCGAGCCCACGGCCCCGCGAGGGCCACACCCGUGCGGGGCUGACUGCGCUCGGUGUGCGCGGAUCACGGAACGGGGGAAAACUGAAGUGCUCGUAGAGCGGCACCGGAAUUUUUGCAUCAAAAGAGCAGUCCGGCAGCCGGCGAAUAUUGCCCGUGUUUAAGACUCAGAAGUAACGCAGCCUUUGGGAAAACGCAGCUUAUUCUUGUUCUAAAAAUAAAGUUUUGUUUAUUUUUGUGAGAACGCAACUACCUUGUUUUAUUCCUCCUUUUUAGACUGUCUGCCACGGUUGCGAAAGAAUGCGCUGUUUUAUUCCUAGAUAGGCGGACUUCGGGGAGAUCUGUUGGCAGCUCUCUGUCUGCUCUCGGAUGCGCUGAAUUUAUCAGAGUAUCUCAUCCUAAAUGCUUGCAGCCGGCUCGGUUCUGGGUGGGAGCCGGGCGAGGAGGGGCGGAGAGAGGCUGCGAACCCUUUCCCUCAGCUAAGGAACAGCGCGGGGCGACGGCUUCAGCCGGAGGGACCCCGAGAGGGCCCGUCCCGGAGGCUGCGGAUCUUUCCACAUGUCCCUGCCUUCUUGCGAGAGAUUCCCUUGCGAAAGUGAUCAGGGAGGGUUCUGCAUUCCCCUCCGUGGAAAUAGACCCUAGAGAACCCGGGCUGCUUCGGCUUGAGCGAAAAGAGUUGAGGGUUGUUGGGCUUUUUCUGUUUGUUUGUUUGGGGGGGUUGUUUGAUUUAGCUCCGGAGCUCGGAAUUGGACAUCUCCGCGAAGGGGACUCUCAUCCCGGGUUGCAGCUCAGGCAGAUCCCCCCGGGCGGCUGUGUGGGAGCGAUGCUCACCGCGGCGCGGGGUGGCAAUGGCUGCUCUCAGAGCUACCCUCGCUGAGGCUCUCCUCCCAGAUCAUAGACACUCGGAAGACUCCUUACAGACGGUGCUCUGACACGAGCUGCCGUGGGCGCUCCGUGUCCGUUCCCUAGCUGAGAAGAGCAAAUCCUCUCGUCCCGAGUGUAAUUCGCGAGCCUGGGGCUAUGGUCUGCUACAUGAUGCUGGAGGAAAAGUUGAUGUAUUUAAUCUAUUCAUUUAUCUAUCUAUUCAUUUCUUUAUGUAGGAGGGUUGUUUUAUUUCCUUUGUUUUGGGGUGUUGGGAUUUGGGGGCUUGAGUUGGUCUAGGGGAUUUUUCUUUUCAGUUUCCCAUGUUUUAUUUUGGCCCGGUGGGUUUCCCUAUACUGUUCCUGAUGGAAACAUCCUGGAUCAGGUCACGGGAAAAGGAUUUAACUGCAUUUCCCUCCCGCACCGUCCCUCUCUCUGCAGCUCCCACGACGUCGAGCUAAGGACGCUUCCCACCGUUCCUCCUUCCUGAAGCGGAAGGAGCCCAACUCCCUCACAGCCCAACGCCGCCCGCACAGCACGGUUCUCCCUGCGGGCAGCGGGUGCCGCGGAAGGCCCCGCGCACCGCUACGCGGCGGCCCGGCUCCGCG